rnacentral:lncRNA from 12 species
AAACUGGAGUAUUUCAGUUGUUUGAAUCUAUUCCUGUUCUAGUUGUGCUCUCUUCACCAAGCAAAUGAAUUCUUGGUGUCACAAGAUUAGCUGAAAUUGCUCAAUGUAGGUAUGCUCCAAAAUUUUAGUACUCUAACUCUUUGAAACUUGUUCAAGAAUAGAUGGCAAGCUACUUUUCGCAUAGAUCCUUUAAGAAUAUAAAGGUUCUGAUACUAGAAUAAAACUUUAGUUAAUCGAAGCAAACUCUAAACUACCUGAAGAAAUCUUGAACUAGUUUGAAACUGAAUGGUUUCUUGGCCUACAAAAACACUUUCUGUAAUUAGCUCCUUAAGGUCCAAGAUGUUCUCACUGACAACCAAAGUACAUUGAGGGUAAUCUAUAGAAGUUAUGCAGAAGUUCAGGAUAAAUGCUCUGAUUUGAAAAUACGAGAACCUCGUGUUGAAUAAUACAGACGUGAUUCAGUUACUAAAUGAAUUACUGGCGCAAAAAAAAAGUGAUUCCUGUAAGUACUCAGUGUUUGCUUACAAGGCAUGAAGUAAAGAAAUAUUUGUAGUACUCCUGUCUGACAUUCUUGGCUGUACUUUAGAAAGCCUGAAAACUCAUCAAGACAUUAUCAACUAAAUAUCUGUAUCUCUUCUCAUAGCUGUUAAAUGUAUCCUGUCUGGGACUUGUUCAUAAUUUCAGUGGUAGUUGUUGCUGUCAAGGAGCUUCAGACUUCUGCUGCUGAGGGCAUGUGGCAGGUGUGGUGCUGUGACUCGAUGAGAGAGGUAUGUACUGCCCGUGACUGCAGCUAAUCACCUGAAGUGACCUCUCCCUUCAGCACUGCAAACCAGCUGCACUGAGACUGCUACUUCAAUUUUACUGGAAAUUAGAUUAAAAUCUGCUGCUCCUGGAUUUGGUUAAUUAUAGCUGGCAGUACCUUUAAAAUACUUUCUAGAGCAUUUUGGAUGGCGAUGUGAAACAUGCAUUAUUUUCAAGGCUUAAAGCAUAAUAAAUUAAGUGAAAUGAUCUAAGAUCCUUCCACAUGUCACAGGGAAAGGUUUAAGAGGUUUAAAUUCAGAGUGUUCUAUAUUAUGAAACUUAACAAAUAUCAAUAUAGAUGGGUACAACUAGUCCUUCCACCCUCCACUUGAUACAAAAGACUUUCCUCACUUUUUAUCCAUGUGUCUAUGUAGACUG